AACGAACGCUGGCGGCAGGCUUAACACAUGCAAGUCGAGCGCCCCGCAAGGGGAGCGGCAGACGGGUGAGUAACGCGUGGGAAUCUACCCAUCUCUACGGAAUAACGCAUGGAAACGUGUGCUAAUACCGUAUACGUCCUUCGGGAGAAAGAUUUAACGGAGGUGGAUGAGCCCGCGUUGGAUUAGCUAGUUGGUGGGGUAAAGGCCUACCAAGGCGACGAUCCAUAGCUGGUCUGAGAGGAUGAUCAGCCACACUGGGACUGAGACACGGCCCAGACUCCUACGGGAGGCAGCAGUGGGGAAUAUUGGACAAUGGGCGCAAGCCUGAUCCAGCCAUGCCGCGUGAGUGAUGAAGGCCCUAGGGUUGUAAAGCUCUUUCACCGGUGAAGAUAAUGACGGUAACCGGAGAAGAAGCCCCGGCUAACUUCGUGCCAGCCGCCGCGGUAACAC
rnacentral:rRNA from 1 species